rnacentral:rRNA from 1 species
AGUCACUGACAUUAGAUACCCCUGUAGUCCAGGUGUAAACGCUGCAGACUUGGUGUUGGAAGUCCUUUGGGGCAUUCAGUGCCGGAGAGAAGUUGUUAAGUCUGCUACUUGGGAGUACGUCCGCAAGGAUGAAACUUAAAGGAAUUGGCGGGGGAGCACCGCAACGGGAGGAGCGUUGCGGUUUAAUUGGAUUCAACACCGUAAAACUCACCAGGGAAGACUGUUACAUGAAAGCCGAGAUGAAGACUCUGCUAGAUUUUCAG